rnacentral:rRNA from 2 species
GAAUUGCAGAAUUCCGCGAAUCAUCGAGUUUUUGAACGCAAGUUGCGCCCGAGGCUUGUCCCGAGGGCAUGCCUGCCCGAGCGUCGA